GAGCUUACCGCGUUUAAGUGUGGUUAGCUUGAUCAAAACUUCCAUGAUGGUGUCGUUUUCGUGUUUUUCGUGAAGGAGUAGCGGAUAUUUUCACCCGAUACGCCGAGAUGCCCGAGAAGCAAGGAAAACUCAAGCUCAACAUCUGUUCCAUCAACCUCAACCUCAACCCCACUGUCCAGUGACAGUAGCAGAAAGAGGA